AAAGCGCGCGUAGGUGGUUUGUUAAGUUGGAUGUGAAAUCCCCGGGCUCAACCUGGGAACUGCAUCCAAAACUGGCAAGCUAGAGUAGGGCAGAGGGUGGUGGAAUUUCCUGUGUAGCGGUGAAAUGCGUAGAUAUAGGAAGGAACACCAGUGGCGAAGGCGACCACCUGGGCUCAUACUGACACUGAGGUGCGAAAGCGUGGGGAGCAAACAGGAUUAGAUACCCGUGU
rnacentral:rRNA from 1 species